CAGUGUGUAUUGUGUACAAAAUACGAACUUGUGGACUAAUUUAGCUAGAUAAAAAUUUGUGUUGUGUGUAAAGCUUCGUUUUAUGUUUAAUUACGUAAAACAUUUAAGAUGGCUUUUAUGUAUGCAUUAGUUUUAUUUUUAAAUGAUUCGUCCAAUAAAGAAAUUGAUAUAUUGAAUAUCGUGGUACCGGAUGUAAAUAGCCUGAAUCAUUGUUAAAAAGUACUAAGUAUUGUAAAUUAUUACAAACGAUAGUUAAACAUUGUGAAGGGUCUGACCGACAUGGCCAACGUUUUAUGUUCAAAUAAGUGUCACAGCAGAAACAAUGGAAGAGGCAGAGGAAAAAUUAAUAAGAUUAAAAAGAACCCCUAUUCUUCUCUACCAAUAAUGAGUAGUCUGGUAAAGCAAAAGCGGCUGCUGUUGAAAAACUUUCAAAUUAAAAGCAUUAGCAAAGGAUUGAUUAAAAAUAGAUAAUAUAUUUAGCCAAAUAGCUUUAGAGUUAACUGACGAACCCACUGAAAUUGCAGAACCUAAGAAAUAAAAGCCAUAAAAAUGUAACCAAAAAAUUGUGAAGAAACAAGCCUAAAAACAUAGUCUCGAAUGGUCAUCUACAUCAAUAGUGUCUUUGAUAUCUUCAUCACCACCGUCAUUGUUAUGUAAACCUACGAAAAUAAAUAAUGAAACUAAAAAAAACGUAUUAAUGACAGUACUAACUACAUAGUUGGCUCAAAAAAAAGGAAAAAAAUUAGUUCAUAAUCUACACCAUACUACCUUGAUCAUCUUCAUCAUCACCAUCAACUAAACGUAGAAAAAUAAGAAAAAUCAACUCAAAUUUGAAGGACAUAAAUAUGCGUAUGGAAAUAGCACAUGAAGACAGUACAUUAGCAACAAUUGCUGAUAAUCCCUUUUCAUCAUCAUCAUAAAUCUGAAACAGAAGCUGAAAUGAAUAUAUUAGCAGCUAGAUCAUCAUCAACAAAAAAUACUGUAUCCAGUGAUUCUUUGCUGGAAUGUAUCAAACAUAAUUAUAACGGUCUAUCAAAACAAUUAGCAAAUUUAAAAGGCCAUAUCUGCUGACGUUCCCAAAUCCUAUCUGAAAUAAAAAAAUAACAGUACUCAGCUGUUAGAUUUCAGUUUAUUAACAGAUCCUGAAGGAAAUCCAGUGGUCCAAAAAUUAGAAUUUCCGCUAUCAACAAUGGAAGAUAUUAUUUUGAUAAAUUCAAUGAAAAAUUAAAAGGCCAAAAAUAUAAAAAUAAAAUGAAUAAACGUAUAUACUUUUCUCUUG